GACGCUGGCGGCGUGCUUAACACAUGCAAGUCGAACGAGACGGGUAUUAGCUUGCUAAUACUGUCAGCUAAGUGGCGAACGGGUGAGUAAUAUAUAGGUAAUGCGCCUUGAAGAAGGGGAUAACAGUUGGAAACGACUGCUAAGACCCUAUAUGCCUUUAAAACAAAAGUUUGCAAGGGAAAUAUUUAUAGCUUCAAGAUCGGCCUGUACAGUAUCAGUUAGUUGGUGAGGUAAUGGCUCACCAAGACAAUGACGCUUAACUGGUUUGAGAGGAUGAUCAGUCACACUGGAACUGAGACACGGUCCAGACUCCUACGGGAGGCAGCAGUGGGGAAUAUUGCACAAUGGGGGAAACCCUGAUGCAGCAACGCCGCGUGGAGGAUGACACAUUUCGGUGCGUAAACUCCUUUUAUAUAGGAAGAUAAUGACGGUACUAUAUGAAUAAGCGCCGGCUAACUCCGUGCCAGCAGCCGCGGUAAUACGGAGGGCGCAAGCGUUACUCGGAAUCACCUGGGCGUAAAGAGCGUGUAGGCGGAUAGAUAAGUUGGGAGGGAAAUCCUAUGGCUCAACCAUAGAACUGCUUC
rnacentral:rRNA from 1 species